AGUUGGGAAUCUUGGACAAUGGGGGAAACCCUGAUCCAGCCAUGCCGCGUGAGUGAUGAAGGCCUUCGGGUUGUAAAACUCUUUCGACGGGGACGAUAAUGACGGUACCCGUAGAAGAAGCUCCGGCUAACUUCGUGCCAGCAGCCGCGGUAAUACGAAGGGGGCUAGCGUUGUUCGGAAUUACUGGGCGUAAAGCGCGCGCAGGCGGUCUUCCAAGUCAGUGGUGAAAGCCUGGAGCUCAACUCCGGAACUGCCAUUGAAACUGUUGGACUUGAGGACGAGAGAGGUGAGUGGAAUUCCCAGUGUAGAGGUGAAAUUCGUAGAUAUUGGGAAGAACACCGGUGGCGAAGGCGGCUCACUGGCUCGUAUCUGACGCUCAGGCGCGAUAGCGUGGGGAUCAAA
rnacentral:rRNA from 1 species